rnacentral:siRNA from 1 species
UACAUGCCUAAACUGUGAAUGC